ensembl:lncRNA
GUCCUACAGACGCACCGGGUGCAGCAAACACACCCCACUGACGUUGCAAUGGUGCAAAACCCAAAGGGUCAAUGCCACAAACCCACCCCACUGGCUUUGUGAUGACCCAUAACCCAAAGGACCAACACAACAAACCCACCCUAUUGCCUUUGCAAUGGUGCAGUACCCGAAGAGCUGACCCACAUAUAUCCCACAGCCACACCGGGUGCAACAAACCCACCCCAGUGCCUUUGCAAUGGUGCAAAAUACAGAGGGCUGACCCACAACGUGUCCUACAGCUGCACCAGGUGCAGCAAACCCAAACCAUUGCCUUUGCAAUGGUGCAACACCCAAAGAGCUGACCCACAUAUAUCCUACAGGCGCACCGGGUGCAGCAAACACACCCCACUGACUGUGCAAUGGUGCAAAACCCAAAGAGCCAAUGCAACAAACUCACCCCACUGUCUUUGCAAUGGUGCAACACCCAAAGGCCCAACCCACACAUGUCCUACAGCUGCACCGGGUGCAGCAAACACACCCCACUGACGUUGCAAUGGUGCAAAACCCAAAGGGUCGAUGCCACAAACCCACCCCAUUGCCUUUGCAGUGGUGCAAUACCCGAAGA